GGAUUGUGGCUUAGUGGUAAAGUGCUCGCCUAGCACAUGUGAGGCCCUGGGUUCGAUCAUCAGCACCA
rnacentral:tRNA from 1 species